rnacentral:sRNA from 2 species
UGCCUAGUUACGCCGAGCUCCAUCCGUUGGGCAUGGUCAAGACCUACCUCAGGGAUGGAGGCGGGGGACCCACCGGUCCACCGAUAUACAGGACUCGGAGUCACGUGCGAAGCGCGAGAUUCCUUGGGGUGAAGCCGAAAGCCGCGAGGCCAAGGCCGGGCAACCUCUCAAGCCCGAACCCGACAGCUGACCUCGUAGGCGUGGACGAGAGGACUU